AGUGCUGUGGCUCAGCGGCACAGCGCAUGCAUAGCAUGUGUAAGGCCCUGGGUUUGAUCCCCAGCACCACAU
rnacentral:tRNA from 1 species